UACGUAGGUGACCAGCGUUGUCCGGAUUUACUGGGCGUAAAGCGCGCGCAGGCGGUCGUUCAAGUCGAGUGUGAAAGCCCCCGGCUCAACUGGGGAGGGUCAUUCGAUACUGAUCGACUGGAAGGCAGGAGAGGGAAGCGGAAUUCCCGGUGUAGUGGUGAAAUGCGUAGAUAUCGGGAGGAACACCAGUGGCGAAGGCGGCUACCUGGCCUGUUCUUGACGCUGAGGCGCGAAAGCUAGGGGAGCAAACGGG
rnacentral:rRNA from 1 species